rnacentral:rRNA from 1 species
AAGAACAGCCAUACCACCCUGCAGCCCACGACCAGCUACUCACGGAAGCUAAGCAGGGCUGAGCCUGGUCAGUACAUGGAUGGAAGACCACAUGGGAAAGCUAGAUUGCUGUUGGAA